AUUGAACGCUGGCGGCAGGCCUAACACAUGCAAGUCGAACGAGUGGCGGACGGGUGAGUAAUGUCUGGGAAACUGCCUGAUGGAGGGGGAUAACUACUGGAAACGGUAGCUAAUACCGCAUACCAUCAGAUGUUCCCAGAUGGGAUUCGCUAGUUGGUGGGGUAACGGCUCACCAAGGCGACGAUCCCUAGCUGGUCUGAGAGGAUGACCAGCCACACUUGAACUGAGACAAGGUCCAGACUCCUACGGGAGGCAGCAGUGGGGAAUAUUGCACAAUGGGCGCAAGCCGGAUGCAGCCAGGCCGCGUGUAUGAAGAAGGCCUUCGGGUUGUAAAGUACUUUCAGCGGGGAGGCGUUACCCGCAGAAGAAGCACCGGCUAACUCCGUGCCAGCAGCCGCGGUAAUAC
rnacentral:rRNA from 1 species